rnacentral:rRNA from 1 species
GACGAACGCUGGCGGCGUGCUUAACACAUGCAAGACGAACGGAAAGACCCUGCUUUUGUGGGGUGCUCGAGCGGCGAACGGGUGAGUAACACGUGAGUAACCUGCCCUUGACUUUGGGAUAACUUCAGGAAACUGGGGCUAAUACCGGAUAGGAGCUCCUGCUGCAUGGUGGGGGUUGGAAAGUUUCGGCGGUUGGGGAUGGACUCGCGGCUUAUCAGCUUGUUGGUGGGGUAGUGGCUUACCAAGGCUUUGACGGGUAGCCGGCCUGAGAGGGUGACCGGCCACAUUGGGACUGAGAUACGGCCCAGACUCCUACGGGAGGCAGCAGUGGGGAAUAUUGCACAAUGGGCGGAAGCCUGAUGCAGCAACGCCGCGUGCGGGAUGACGGCCUUCGGGUUGUAAACCGCUUUCGCCUGUGACGAAGCGUGAGUGACGGUAAUGGGUAAAGAAGCACCGGCUAACUACGUG